rnacentral:rRNA from 1 species
UACGUAGGGUGCAAGCGUUAAUCGGAAUUACUGGGCGUAAAGCGUGCGCAGGCGGUUGUGCAAGUCAGAUGUGAAAUCCCCGGGCUCAACCUGGGAACUGCAUUUGUGACUGCACGGCUGGAGUGCGGCAGAGGGGGAUGGAAUUCCGCGUGUAGCAGUGAAAUGCGUAGAUAUGCGGAGGAACACCGAUGGCGAAGGCAAUCCCCUGGGCCUGCACUGACGCUCAUGCACGAAAGCGUGGGGAGCAAACAGG